rnacentral:lncRNA from 10 species
CUCUUAGCAUCUGGGUCAAGAAAACUUGUACUUUAUUCCUCAAUUGGACUUCCAGGUACUGUCUAGAAGGGGUCCAGUAGAACCAGAAGAGUUUUCUCAGAGAGGAAGCAACAUUUUACAACUGAAUCUACACUACAUAUACAGAAGAGUCCAAAGUUGGAAACCUAAGCAAUCCAAGAAAUCGCUGUCCCUACAGAAGUUAAACAAUAGGAUACUUU